rnacentral:lncRNA from 1 species
GGCAAUCUGUUAGGGUUUGUGUCUGUCGUGUGGAAGCUUUGUUCAUUCGUCUUUUGCAAUAAAUCUUGCUACUGCUCAGUCUUUGGGUCCACACUGCUUUUAUGAGCUGUAGCAGUCACCACGAAGGUCUGCAGCUGCACUCCUGAGGCUAGCGAGACCACGAACCCACCGGGAGGAGCGAACGACUCCAGACGCGCUGACUUAAGAGCUGUAACAGCUUACCGCUAAGGUCUGCAGCUUCACUCCUGAGCCAGAGAGACCAGGAACCCACCUAGAAGGAACAAACUCCGGACAUGCCGCCUUUAAGAGCUGUAACACUCACCGCCAGGGUCCGCAGCUGCAUUCUUGAAGUCAGUGAGACCAAGAACCCACCAAUUCCAGACACACUGUCAUCAAAAAGUGGGAUAUCUUUUUAAACAGAGAUAACAUUGCAGAAUCUUGGAGUUGGAAAUAGACCUCAGCUGGGGUUUAGUCCUGUUUUCUCCUCAGAGCAGAAGUCCUGGGAUGCCGUUCUGGACUGAUUGUCAGUUUUUUCUCCUGUCCUUGAGCUAUUCUAAUGCCAGACAUCUGUGGCUUUACACAGCCAGGCUUUCAGUUAGAGAACUUGGUUAGCUCAGGUCAACAAAUGCUGCUCUGAGAACACUGACUCCCAUGUGGGGAGACUCUGCACCUGGAGCUCCGGGAGAGCCGGCUCAGGCCUCUUCCUGCUAUCCAGGGAACUGCAGUGGCGUUGGAGGGCCUUGCUGGGGCUGGGGCUGGGGAGAAGGGAUUCCAACCCUACUGAUAAUUCGUUUGGAAACACCGGGCUGUGGAUUUCAGAAGUUCUUGGGCAGCCUGAUUACCACUGGCAGUGAGCCGGGGACGAAGCCGAAGCUAUGAGUGACAGACGGAAAGAACUGGGGGCUUUGGUGAACCAGAGAACACUUAGCUCCUCCAGCCCUGAAGCAGGCGUCACCGCAGGGCUUAUGGUCCUAAGAGCCACUUAGUUUCCUUAUUCAUUAAACUAGUUUAAUUUGGGUUUUCUGCAUCCUGGAGGACACCAAGUCGGUGUGCGGAGGGACCCUGUAGACACGUGUGCAAAGAAUAAGCCGACGAUCAUGGAAUUUCUGAUGACGCCACUGACACGUGGGAUGGAGGCCUCCUUCCCAGGGCACCCCUACACUCAUGACAAUGAAUCCUGGCUCUUAUUCACCCCUUUGGAUUUCACAAGCAAGUAAGAAAAGAGAAGGACAGAAUUAAACAUGGGGACAGAUGAAGAAGUAAAGAAGAUGAAAAUGAGGAAGAUAAAAAACAAACUGAAGACACAAUGUGAACCCUGGGAAUUCAAGGCUGAAUAGUACGAAGUCCUUUCCUCACAGAGUUCAGGACCCAGGAGUGGAGGCCAGAUAAGGUGUAAGAACACAGCAGGAAGGUGGCUGCCCCCCACCCCCAACCAAGAAGAUGGCCGUCACCAGGAAACAAACUGGCUUCCACCUUGAUCCUGGACUUCAUCUGUUGUUGAAGCCGCCCAGCUUACAGCAAUGUGUUACGGUGGCCUGAGCUGACUAAGACACCCUACUUGGCAAAAUCUCAGGAUUAUUCUCUACUUUGACUGGAGGACAGAAGAAGCUGAGAAGUGGAGGUACUACUUUCUUGUCAGGGUCGUGGGGCCCCAGAGAAGACUGAAUUCAUAACCUCAGCAAAUCUGCCAUGGCAAGCUCAGGUCUCUGAACACCAGGGCCAGGAUACCGGGGCCAGUGAACAUGGAAAUCUUGACUCCCUAGAUGCCUCCAACCCUCUGAGCCUACAGGAGUGGCCUGUGUGUCCCAUUAAGGGCUAACAUUUGCAUUGCUUGAGACCUUGCAAGGUAUGCCCUCCACGUACACGCAGAAUCCAUCCCCCAACUCCUCCAGGUCAUAACAGGCCUCAAUUACGAAAGGACAGCAUCUGCAAAGGGAGGCAGAGACUUUACACUGAGGGAGAGACAGGACUAGCCAAUCUUCGCAGCAGGAGCCAGGAGGCUGGAGGUGGGGUUGGAUUCCAAGGGUGUUCAAAUAUAUGGGGGCCAGACACUGGGUAAGAGAGGGAAGUCCACUGAUAUGGGAGGCUCCUGUUGUACAAAGUUAAUGCCUUAGCAAGGACCCCGGGAAACGGUGCUGAGGCUGUCAGGGCUUGUGGAUGCCUAGAGAAGAUGAGGGGUCUCACUCAGUGAACUGAAAAUGCUGGAACUGCCAUGGCAGAGGAAAAGAGAAGAACAAAGCUUCAGAAGAGUGAUGUGCUGUGGAGAGCCAGCCAAUGAUGAUCUGGGAACCAAGUGUCAGAAGUAGGAGUGGCCCCUCAUCACCCUCUUCACUGACCUGGGGAGCUACGUUCCAGUCCUGUGGCUUGGGCUCUGGAGGUCCGGAGACUCUAGGCUCAGAGGGCUGUUUCCACCGGAAGAGGCUCUCGCUCCUUCUGAAGUCAUGGAUUUCCCCCCCCAGUGCCUCAUGCCAAGAUUCCAGGAGGAAAGGAAUCGUGACCCCGCGGGGGACCUGGCCCCAGUGUUUAGCUACAGAGGCCCUGACAGAGAGGCGUGCUGGGCAACUGCCACCAGAGAGGGGUCACUCCAGACUGGAGACUGGGGGUCCUGGGGUGGGGUGGCCACCUGGACAAGGCAAUGCAGGUGUAAAAUCAUUCCAUUGUUUAAAAGCAUGCGGGCCUUUUGGUGGGGACAGAGGCACAGGUUACACAGCAAGUGAAAAUUGGCAAAUACUUGAAAAGAUAUUUAAGUUUAUAUGUCAAAUAAAUGAAGAUAAACAAUGAAGGGCUAUUUUUUCCACUUUUCAAAUAUCCAAAUUUUAAAAAUAAUAAUACUUAACACAGACGAGAGUUCUGUGAAAUAGGCCUCCCUCCCAUUCAUGGGAGCCUGGGUUGGUAUAAUCUUUUAGGUGGCAAUUUAGUAGCACCAUUCUUUGAUUUAUUAUUACUUUUCUGGAAAUGCAUCCUAAUGUAAUGUAUCUAAAUAUGAAGAAAAAAGCCUGAUGAAGAAAUACGUUGAACAAAAUUAUUUACAAAAGGAAAAAGAAAAGUAGUAGAGGGACUAUUAUAGCCACAUUUGUCUAUUUAUUCAGCAGAAUACCAAGCUAGCUGUUUAAUGAUUGUGGAAACUUUGUAAUUAUAUGGAAAUAUUCGUAGAAAAUACUAUUGAAAUAAUAUGGUAAAUGCUUUAAAUACAAUGUCAAAUAUAAAACUUAAUACAACGUGGAGAGAAUGAGUACAAGCUUGUAAAAUGUUUGCUUAAAAAUGGAAGGCUGUGUCAAUCAAUGUAGACACAGCUCUUCUGUUACACUAGAAGCUGGAACUGUUUUAAGUGCCGCAUAGUUUAAUAUUUCCCUGUGUACAAUUGGCUCCAUCAAACAUGGUUUCUGAAAUAUUUUUCUGAAUAAAGUAUGAGUGUAAAUUACUA